UUUUUUUUCAAUUUAUGAUUUUAAAGGUCCAGUAUGUAACGUGUUUAGUUGGUCAUUAUCAAACUUGGUGUUGCCCGUUCACAAACUUUUCAUGAAUAUUUACGACCACCAUCAAUUCCAAUUAUUCCUAUUGGCUUGAAAUUUUACAUUUUCAUUUGCAUGAACUGGG